GUAGUGGUGGUGCUUAAGAUCCAGUCUUAACGCUGAAGCCUGGUGCUUGCACCGGGUGGAUGAGUGGCGAACGGGUGAGUAACACGUGAGUAACCUGCCCCUGACUUCGGGAUAAGCCCGGGAAACUGGGUCUAAUACCGGAUACGACCGNCGGACGCAUGUCUGGUGGUGGAAAGUUUUUUCGGUUGGGGAUGGGCUCGCGGCCUAUCAGUUUGUUGGUGAGGUAAUGGCUCACCAAGACGACGACGGGUAGCCGGCCUGAGAGGGCGACCGGCCACACUGGGACUGAGACACGGCCCAGACUCCUACGGGAGGCAGCAGUGGGGAAUAUUGCACAAUGGGGGAAACCCUGAUGCAGCGACGCAGCGUGCGGGAUGACGGCCUUCGGGUUGUAAACCGCUUUCAGCAGGGAAGAAGCGCAAGUGACGGUACCUGCAGAAGAAGUACCGGCUAACUACGUGCCAGCAGCCGCGGUAAUACGUAGGGUACGAGCGUUGUCCGGAAUUAUUGGGCGUAAAGAGCUCGUAGGUGGUUGGUCACGUCUGCUGUGGAAACGCAACGCUUAACGUUGCGCGUGCAGUGGGUACGGGCUGACUAGAGUGCAGUAGGGGAGUCUGGAAAUUCCUGGUGUAGCGGUGAAAUGCGCAGAUCUCAGGAGGAACACGGUGGCGAAGGCGGGCACU
rnacentral:rRNA from 1 species